GACGAACGCUGGCGGCGUGCCUAACACAUGCAAGUCGAACGGACAAGGUUUGAAAGCUUGCUUUCGGCCUUGUUAGUGGCGGACGGGUGAGUAACGCGUGAGGAACCUGCUUCAAAGAGGGGGAUAACUCAGGGAAACCUGGGCUAAUACCGCAUGACGUAUCGGGAGGGCAUCCUUCUGAUACCAAAGGAGCAAUCCGCUUUGAAAUGGCCUCGCGUCCGAUUAGAUAGUUGGCGGGGUAACGGCCCACCAAGUCGACGAUCGGUAGCCGGACUGAGAGGUUGAACGGCCACAUUGGGACUGAGACACGGCCCAGACUCCUACGGGAGGCAGCAGUGGGGAAUAUUAGGCAAUGGGGAAACCCUGACCUAGCGACGCCGCGUGAAGGAUGAAGGUCUUCGGAUUGUAAACUUCUUUGACGAGGGAAGAUAGUGACGGUACCUCGAAAACAAGCCACGGCUAACUACGUGCCAGCAGCCGCGGUAAGAUCACGUGUA
rnacentral:rRNA from 1 species